AGCGAACGCUGGCGGCAGGCCUAACACAUGCAAGUCGAACGGACCCUUCGGGGUUAGUGGCGGACGGGUGAGUAACACGUGGGAACGUGCCUUUAGGUUCGGAAUAGCUCCUGGAAACGGGUGGUAAUGCCGAAUGUGCCCUUCGGGGGAAAGAUUUAUCGCCUUUAGAGCGGCCGCGUCUGAUUAGCUAGUUGGUGAGGUAAUGGCUCACCAAGGCGACGAUCAGUAGCUGGUCUGAGAGGAUGACCAGCCACAUUGGGACUGAGACACGGCCCAAACUCCUACGGGAGGCAGCAGUGGGGAAUCUUGCGCAAUGGGCGAAAGCCUGACGCAGCCAUGCCGCGUAGAUGAUGAAGGUCUUAGGAUUGUAAAAUCCUUUCACCGGUGAAGAUAAUGACUGUAGCCGGAGAAGAAGCCCCGGCUAACUUCGUGCCAGCCGCCGCCGUAA
rnacentral:rRNA from 1 species